rnacentral:lncRNA from 1 species
UGCAUGUGAAUGAUUCUCUAGUAAUUAGGUCGAAUCAGUUUUCUCAUCAUGAAUAUAUGUGCUAGAAAAAUACUUUGUGAUUUGUGUCAUUGAACUAGCUAAUAUGUUGUUCACCUAGUAAUAUGUGUGUAGUUGUGAUUAGAGUCAAGAACGCAAAAAAAAAAAACAAGAAAAGAAAAAACGAAAUAUAUCUGGCUACCGAAAAAAAGAAAAAGAUUCAUAAAAGUCAAAUUGUUUGCAGACAAAAAAGGUUUACAUUAGUCAUUUUUACUCUUACUUUAUGUUCUAAGAAUUAUGAAAUGAU